ACGACAGAUGCGGGAGAGAACGUAUGUCACCGAAGGGUAAAGAAUUUGAGCUCACUACUCUAAUUCAAAAGUCUCAGGUAAAAGAACCGUAUUUUGACA
rnacentral:ncRNA from 2 species